UAGCACAACACAUAAUUAAUAUCUUCAUUAGUUGGGAAAUUUAUAUUCAUUUUAUAACUUUAAUAAUAAUAAUAAAGAAAAUUCGCAAAAAAUACCAUCAGCAUGUAUUACCCGAAGGAAUACCUGUGGUUCAGGAUUAAACGCCGAUGGACUUUUGCAGAAGAUGCAAGGAUUGUGAGACUGAGACUGAUGACUUAUGACCGAGAUUUUAAUUGGGAUGGCUUAAGGAAUUACGAUCAUCAAUUGUGGAAAUGAAUUGCAGCGGAACCAAUUUUGAGAAAAAGGCGCAAAAUUAUUAAAACGACGUACCGGCGGUUUUUAGGACUUUUAAAUGAUUACGAGUGCUGCUUCGUCCGAAUGCCAGAAAGAGACCAAAUGGAGUUCGACUGGCCGUUCAGAUACUGCUUUAACUUUUAUAAAUCACUCUCGGAAAAUAAAAGACAAGAAAACCAGGAAGAAGAUGAGUCAAAGGAUCUAAAGAAAACACCGGUCUCUGGGAAAACUAUGCGCUUGAAUUUUGAGGCUAAGUUUGAUGAACCAAUGAACACAACGCGAUACACGAUUGAACUUGAAAAUGAUAAUAUUAAAGUCCGAAAAUUAUCAGACUAAAAUCAAACAAAUAUUUAAUCACAGAUAUUAAGUAUAUGCUUAAUAUCACGGAUACCCAUGAACAUCUCUAUAAUUUUCUAAUUGCUUCGUUACACUACAUUACAUAUAUUUAACCGUUUUAAGAAUGUUACUUACAUUACAUAUAUUUAACCGUUUUAGAAAUGUUACAUUACAUAUA
rnacentral:lncRNA from 1 species